UACGUAGGGGGCUAGCGUUGUCCGGAUUUAUUGGGCGUAAAGAGCGUGUAGGCGGCCAUGUAGGUCCGGUGUGAAAACUCGAGGCUUAACCUCGAGAUGUCAUCGGAAACCAUUUGGCUAGAGUCCGGAAGAGGAGAGUGGAAUCCUGGUGUAGCGGUGAAAUGCGCAGAUAUCAGGAGGAACACCGGUGGCGAAGGCGGGUCUCUGGGCCGAUACUGACGCUGGAGGAGCGAAAAGCGUGGGGGAGCGAACAGGG
rnacentral:rRNA from 1 species